CUGUGCCGCCGCAUUGGAACAGUCUGUUUCCAGCUUCAUACUGUUUUGAUUUAAACUUGAUUUCAUUACAAUAAGGCACAAAAGAGUCCCUAGGAUUACAUCUGACUGGACAGUACAUAGCUGUUGUGUACCAACUUCACAGAGCGUUUACAGGGAUUAGAGGAAGGUCAGUCUAACUGACUAUUUUGGAAGGCCCUGGCAUACCAUGUACUGAUGAUUGGCCAAAUGUUUGGAGUAAAAGCCAAUGGGAGGCUUUUAUAACAAAGAACCCUUGUUUGGGGUGCAAGAACAACAAGCUUGGAUGCCUGGUCUGCUCUAAUGCAGGAUCAAGAGGGGUCUUCAAAGAACAAGGUGUACAAGUUUCCAUAGAGUGGGCUAUAUUUCAAAUUCAAGGUUCCAACAAUGAAAACAGAGACAUUAUUUUAUUAAGGAACA